AUCACCUACAACACAGAGUGGGAAUCCUAGUGAGGGCCCAUGCAGGUGGGGGCUGAACCUGGAGACACCUGUACGCUCAGGUGGAGUCACCCCGGCAGAGGGGUGCUUGGGAGAGAGAUGACUAACAAACCUCAAUCUCAGGGAAGAGGCAGGAGCAAAGUGGGAGCAGUUCAGGCACAUCCUAGGCAGGGACCCAUUCUUCCUGAAAGAGGAAGUGGUGGGACAGGACUGAUUGCCCGAAUUGCUUCUGCCCCAUGGUUAAGCCUGCCUUGCUGCACUUUGUCAGCCACCAUGAUGGCAGAGUGAGAACCUGAGGGGUGGUGGUGGGGUUUCCAAGGGAAGUCUCCAGAAUGGAAACAUCACUGUGGUUGCUCAGAGACCACCUCCUCUCGUAAUGGGGAAUCCUACCUUCUCAACAUGUAAGCCAGGCUAGGGAAAGUGGGAGAGGGCUGUCAAUCAUGAAAAUGUCACGUGGUGGAACUGUCUACUGGGAGUUCAUUUUUCUCUGGUGCCAGAUGCCUGGGCCAGUUUGUUGGUAGUCUCUGUCGGAUGCUGGUCACAGACAUUCUCUGAGGUGCGACUCCAGGAUUGAUGAGAGAAAGCAGACAUCCUACGGGAUGCCACUCUGACAUGCUGGGCUGUUUAGAUGUCUUGCAAUUAGAAUGCUGGGAAGAGGUCCUGGUCUCACACAGGAGACUUGCUGUAGAAAGUCAACAAUUAGGCCCUGUGCCUUGUACAAAUUGGUAGUGACAGAGCACGGCUGCCUCUGUUUCCCUGGAGGUAACGCUUUCUCCCCUGUGGACCUGGCAGGAGACAAGAGCCUUUCCCUGGUGUGUGUCCCAGCUGCACUCAUGUCAGGGAAGGCACAAUGGCAGCUCUGAGCAGAAGCCAGGUGGUGUGUGAAGUCAGAUAGGAUGAGUGAGUGGUCCGGAGUCCCUGCCAUGAAACCCCUGUGGUCAGGCUGGGCAGCCCCUCUGUCAGCUAGUGAGGCCCAAGCCAGCCAGACUGUGUCCUCCUGCCUUCUGCAUAUGCUCAUCAGCCUUCAAGUUCUAGGCCACUGCCCAGAAAGCAGCAGACCAGUGGCCCGAUGAGGGGCUUGGCCAACUUACAGGCCCCGAGAAGCCCAGACCCUCUGUGCAGGAGAGGAGGCAGAUGCUGGGCCCCUGAACGGGAAGGUGAGACACUUUUUCUAAUCAUGAUAUUGUGGCCACAUGUGUAGAAAGGAGGGUCUAGAUUUCUGCAGCCUGAGGCUUGGCCUGCAGGGUGAGAGCUGACUCUGGUGGGGGCUUGUGACUCCCAUGGCUGAGAGCUCUGGAUGCUUCUACUUUUUAGGAAUGGAGCUGCCUUCUGGCUUUUACUUUUAUGACAAAACAAACAGCACCUGGCCUGCCUCCUCAGGCAGGCUGGAGGCUUGUGUCUUUUUUCGUCUUGCUUUCCUCUGCAGUCAGCAGGCAGAGUGCUGGGCUGGAGUGAUGCAAGCCAUGAUUUUCAGGUUUGAGGCAGUCCUCAUGUUGCAUUAGGUUAUUUCUCUGUGAUUUUUUUUUAAGAGGCCAAAUGAUUACUUCUAUGGUAAGCUCAUAGGAAAAAACUCAUAGAAGUGGGUGUUAAGAAAAUAUCAGCAUUAGGAAACUGGAUCUUAGAGAGUCUGAAAAGAAAAUGCCAGGGAAUUCCAAGAAGCCAUGCAAUCAUUGCUUGGUAUCAGGCCUGUCAUUUUAGCUCAUAGUAGAGAUGAAAAAUUACAGGCUGUCAUUGGUCAAUGUCAUUCACGCUUCACUGCUCUGACACCCUAUAUUCAGAGGUUACUUCAUCAAAACGCAGUGCCACGGGCCAUUGAAUUGGUGUGGGCAUGUCAGCCUCGUUUCUCUGAGUCACGAGUUCCUCCUCGGCUUUUUCUUGUGUCCUAUCACACAGCUGGGCCCACAGUGCCCUAAAGAUAACUGUCAAGCCCCUCACAUUUGCUGCCGUAUGGGCUUGGUACAGGAGAUGCAUGCAUGUGUCUGAAUCUCAGGAUAUGCCCAUCAGUUGGCAGGGUGGGGACAGCAAGGCUGGGCAUCUCCCUCAGAGGGGUGUAUGAAGCCAGCUGGGAAGUGGCAUGUGGAGGGGUGGGAGAACAUGGUAUCCAGAGGACAGGCUGGGAGGCAGCUAACAGCUGGCCUGAGAAAGGGGGUGGGCCAGAGAGUGCUGGGCAGCAUUGGAAAAGAUGCCAAACCUUCCAAACCUGGGUGCUGAGGAGGGCUUUGGUGGAGAGAGCCUCAUUUGUACAAACACGUUCAUAUAGUCUUCCCAAAGUGUGUUCAACAAAUCCUUCAGUGUUGGAUAUUUAGAAACAAUAUUAGGAUAUUAUUUUUAAUCUCUUGCAAAUACAAACAAUGCAGUAACAAACAUUGUAUUUGUGAGAGAUUAAAAAUAAUGUCAUAGCUCAAUUUUUGUCCACAUCCAUGAUUAUGGCCUUUGGAAAAAUUCUGAGAAGUCAAGUUGCUGGAUCAAAAAUUACUCUUUCACUGGCCAGGCAUGGUGGCUCACACCUGUAAUCCCAGUACUUUGGGAAGCUGAGGCGGGCAGAUCACUUGAGGUCAGGAGUUUGAGACCAGCCUGGCCAACAUGGUGAAACCCCAUCUCUACAAAAAAUACAAAUAUUAGCUGGGUGUAAUGGCAUGUACCUGUAAUCCCAGCUACUCAGGAGGCUGAGGCACGAGAAUUGUUUGAACCUGGGAAGAGGAGGUUGCAGUGAGCCAAGAUUGUGCCACUGCACUCCAGCCUGGGUGCAGAGUGAGAUUCUGUCUCAAAAAAAAAAAAAAAAACUUUCAGGCUAUUGGUUCACACUUCCCAAUGGCUCACCACAAAGACUAUGCCAGUUGAAUUUCCAGGAGCAGUUUUUGUGAGCAAUGGUUUCUUUAACCCUAGCCCACAGUGAUGAAGGUAGGUUUAUUCAAAUGAUUUCAUACUUUUUUUGUGUGAUAAUGCAUAUCCUAGACUUUCCAGUUAUGAGAAGGGAAGCAUCAUGCUGUAAUUCCUGGUAUUAUGCUUUCAGUGUUUUGUCAUUUAGGCAAAGGUAAACUAUUGGUUAUUGGUUUUGGAGAAGUAGUCUUUAUUAUAUUUAAAGAAUUUCCUUCUAUUCCUAUUUUUAGGCUUUUUAUUAAGAAUGCCUGCUGUAUUUAAUUAAAUGUCUUUUCAGUAUUUAUUGAAAACGUCCUACAUGUUUUCUCUUUCAAUUUGUUGGUGUUAUGAAUAAUAUUGACUGAUUUCCUGACAGUGAACCAUCAUUGCAUCCUGGGAAUGUGUUCCCUGCUUGAGCAUUCAGACACAUUCCUGGAUUCUAUGUCUUUUUCUUUGCGUGUGUGUGUGUGUGUGUGUAGUGUUUGUUUAUACACAUGCGUCUCUCCUGUGAAACUCCCUUUUUAAAAUAAAUUAUCCUUGCAUAAUAUUCCUGGAUUUGUAUGUUAGACAAGGACAUGGGUCCAAGUCAUCUCUUGGAUUCCAGUCAUUCCUGUAACCAAAACCAAUUCUUCACAAUUUAUUCAUUUAAAAAAAUCAUAAGCCAUGUGGUUUCAAUGCGCUUUAAUUUGAAUUCAAUUAAAAAGAAUUUAACAAGUCAACUUUUCCCAAACAAAACUUUAUAUUCUAUUUUCUUUAGGAGCUCAGUGAAUCUAAACAUUAAGUUUCAAUAUAAAAUCUUUAGAAACACCGUAAAACUAUGUAAACAGUGGUAGUUUGCAUCUCUUUGUUUGUAAUCAAUCACUGAGCCCAUGAAAUUCAAAGCCAGACAAAUCCUUGUACUACUAAGGGUCAUAAGCCAGAAUGUCUUAAAAAAUAUCCUCAAAGCUUUGGAAUCCAGUACGAAUUAGGAAAUGAGUCGGAGUCAGACACCCCGAGCACAAACUAGCGCAACCCCACAAAACAUGUUUAAUUUGAGUUUUCAUCCUGGACUCUAUUUCUAAUAGUAUGUUAGAAUUAAAAACAGAAUUCUGCCUCUGUAUUUAUAAGUGAGAUUAGUCUACAGUUUUAUUUUUUAUACUAUUUUAAAUCAGGUUUUAUAAUCACAAUAACACUGGCUAUUUAAAACAAACUGUACAUUUUCACCCUAUGGUCUUGGGAUAGUUCAAGUAAAAUUAUCUAUAUUUUGAGGACUUGACAAAACUCAGCUGUACAUUUUUCUAUGGUAGAUUUUUCUUUAAAAAAUCCAUGGUAAUUGCUCUAGCUCAGGUUUCUCUUUUCAUAAGUCAGUUAAUUUUUUAAAAACAUUUUGCAAGCAUUCACUGAUUUCCUCUAGGUUUUAAAAUUUGUUGCCUCAGAGUUGCAAUGUAGUGUUUUUUUUUAGAUAAAAUCUCAUUCUGUCACCCAGGCUGGAAUGCAGUGACACGAUCUCAGCUCACUGCAACCUCCACCUCCUGGGUUCAAGCGAUUCUCCUGCCUCAGCCUCCUGAGUCGCUGGGAUUACAGAUGUGCACCACCACACCCAGCUAAUUUUUGUAUUUUUAGUAGAGACAGGGUUUCACCAUGUUGGCCAGGGUGGUCUUGAACUCCUGACCUCAGGUGAUUCAGCCACCUCAGCCUCUCAAAGUGCUGGGAUUAUAGGCGUGAACCACUGCGCCUGGCCUAUUUUUCAAGUCUUUUGAUCCUCCUGUAUCUGCAAUAAAAUUCCCUUUCUCAUUCCUCAUUUUGUCUAUUUUUGUUUGCUUUUUUCUUUAUUGGGGUUGUAAAGGAUUCAUCUUUUUUGUUUUGCUUUCUAUUAAUUUUAGCCUCUAUUCUUUCUUGCAAGUUUUGUUCUCUUUCAAUUUCUUAAAUACUUCCUUUUCAGGCUUUUAAGCCCCAAGAAUUCCUUGGUACAGCUUUCUCUGUAUCCUGUAAAUUUUGAUAUGAAAUAAUAGUCUCUUUUUCUUUGCUUUUGAGACCAUUGGUAGUUUUCCUUUUAAUUUCCUCUUUGAUCCAAUAGAUAUAUCCAGGAAUGUUUUCUUAAUUAUCAGAAAAUAUAGCCUACAACAUCUACUUUUACAAAAAUUUAAAGUUUCUUUAGUGAUAUACUUUUUUAUAUGGAGACAUACUGAAAAAUUCUAUUUGACUGAUGAAAGUCUUUCUAUGUUUUUAUUAAACCAAACUUCUUGUUUAUAUUCAAUUUUCCUGUCAUCUUGUCUCUUCGUAUAUUUUAAAUCAAGCUCUUCUAUGUUAAUCACUCUUGUUUUACGUAUUCGUUAUGUUGUUUGAUAUAGAUCAGCUGUUCAGCACCUACUGUCUCUCAACAUGCUUAGUGCUCUUAACCCUAAAUUCCACAUUGCCUGACGCUACCAUGCAUGCAUGCUUUUUUGUUCACCUGUCAUCACUAUUCUCACCCCUUUAAGGGCAACCUUUUAUUAUCACUUUAUGUGUGUUUCUUGGAAAAAAGUUAUUGCUAGUUUUUAAACCCAGUCUGCUCAUCUCUGCUUUUAAUUGGGGAAUUCAGUCAUAUUUGAUAUAAUGAGAUAUUCACUUCUCAACUACCAAUUUCAAACAACAUUCUCUGUAUCCUCUCUUAUCCCAAUAAAAUGAGGUUUAAAGUGAAGUUUUGAGUAUUUUUACUCCCCCUUUCUGCAUACUCCCUACUUUUAUUUUUUGAAACAGGGUCUCACUCUGUCACCCAGGCUGGAGUGCAGUGGCAUGAUCUCGGCUCACUGCAGCCUCCAUCUUCUAGGCUCAAGUGAUUCUUCUGUCUCAGCCUAUCAAGUAGCUAGGACUACAGGUGCGUCAGCACACCUGGCUAAUUUUUGUAUUUUUUUUUUUUGUAGAGAUGCGGUUUUCCUAGGUUGCUCCUGCUGGUCUCCAACUCCUGAGCUCAAGUAAUCCUCCUGCCUCAGCCUCCCAAAGUGCUAGGAUUACAGGUAAGAGCCACUGCACCUGGCUCCUACUCUUUUUACUGAAACAAUUUAUCUUUAGUUACAACUUGGUAUCAGAAUUUCUUUCAUUGUCUCUCUCCUCAUUCAAAUGUCCUCACCUGGCACUUAUUGUACAUUUCUAGAUAGCCUCUCCUCAUCCAUUUUACUUUUAAUUUUAGAUCUUCCUCUCCUGGUUCAUUACUUGCCACUAUCUUUGUCCACCUUGAUGUCUCUAAUCUGGCUCAUCUGAUGUUUGUCUAGUAUCUUUCCUUAGGUGUGGCCCAUGAGUGAUGGGCUCCCUGAGUUCCUGCGUACUCGUAUAUCUUUCUUUUGUCCUGACAGGUAAAUGAUGUCUUGCUUGGGAAUAGAACCCUUGGAGUGUGUAGAUGGGAUACCACGGUCUUCCAGCUCCUAUUGCAGGGCUGCUUUGUGUGGGAAAGCUGAUGGCAGAUCAUGGAAAGACGGCCCAUCAUAGAACCACACACACGUGAUCACAGGCAUGACACAGAACAAUGAAGCUUGGUACCUUCCUCUCGCCACAGGAUGUUUGCAACUGCAGCAGCAGAGAAUGAGGAAAGCAGGAGUGUGAUGGAGGAAAGGAAAAAGAAGAAAGCAGUGUUAAACCGUCACUGCAGUGAUUCCAUUUAUGAAGAUCCUGGUACCUAGUCCAUCACUUACAGAAUCUAUACCACUCAUUGCCCUAGGAACAGUAUCUUGGGGGAAGCUCUGGACAUGAACAAAUGCUUUCAGGUCUCCAGACCCUUUUGAUUAAGUGAAUCUUUGAAAUCAUGCCCUAGGACCACAGAAGCUAAUGGAAUUUCUCACAUUUCAUGGAUGAUCAAGAGUAAGCAACAUCUCUCCCAGAUUUCCUGGACAACCAGCAGGAGAAGUGACUUUCAACUAGGAUUCUCCUAAGAUGACCACGUGAAAUACUUCUGAUUAUCUACUUUGAUGAAAAUGGCUUAGCCUGGAGUCUUUGACCAUGAGUAACACCCAUGUCUAUGAAAUCACACCUGCAGGCCUACCUGGGGAGCAGUGGUUAUGAGGAGAGCACACUUAGCACACCGAUGGGCUGGACCCCUAGCGUAAAGGCUACCACACUCCCAAUGGUGUGCAUGUGUGCACAGGUCAGGUUCUGGGCCACUGUGGGACAUCACGUGGAUGAAGGGCAGAGGUUCAGGGCAUACAGCAAGUAAAAAGCAGAGCUGGGACUCGACUAUUUGGGUUUCCUUGUGUUCCUGGGCUCUGUCUGCUGUCCAGGGAAUCUCCCUGUCUGUUUCCAGAGUUGUCUAGGUUGCCAGGGAAGGCCUGCUCACCUCUGGGUGCCCUCCAAUUCCAGCUUUAUGCAAAGAGGGAUAUGAGGCUUACCCCUGUCUUCACGGGCUCAUGGUUGGCAGCUGUGGCCCUGGUCAAUUGGUGCCCUCCCUUGCCACCCAACACCUCCCAGCCAGCUCAGUGAGAAGCAUAAACGCGUGUCGACUUACGGGUCUUUCUAGCUGAGUCUUCAAUGAAGAGCGAGGAGAUAUCUUCAUCCACACCCACUUCAUUUUUGGCAAUGCAGGUGUAUGCCCCUGUGUCUUCAUACCGAACACUGCUGAUGUGGAGUUCGCUCCCAUUGGCUGCAGACAGGACAGUGCUCAGGGUGGACUGCUCAGCUGGAGACCCACUCACUUUCCUUUAUGGGGCCAUUGAGAGUGUUAGGGCUGCCCAGCCCCCGGGCAGCCAGCAGCCCUGAUUAUACGCCCAGGAAGGGCUGGCACAUCUGAAAUGCACUGAGGGUGAGCUGGACCUGAGUGACAGCUUCUCAUCAUUGCUCUCAGAAAGCCCCAAAAGAUCUGUGUGAGCCCAGAUAACAGGGAAAUUUGGGAGCCAUCUGUUCACUCCUAACCUGUCUGACUUAUAAACAAAUUAUACCUCUCAUUUCCAUUCCUGGAGUCUCAGCUUGAUUUGAAUGGGAAUAUUGCAUAGACGUCUACCAAGGGCAGUUCUUACCUAAAAGGGAGAGCUGUUUAGACAUCUGAGUUGAGACAUCCACGCCGUUUUUCAGCCAAGUGAUUCUGGGCAUGGGAAUGCCCUCAGCAUGGCAUCUCAGGCUGGCUGCCACUCCGGGCUCCUGUGCCUGGCUCUCUGGAUAGACACGGAUGACUGGCGGCACUGUGGGUGAGAGUCAGUGCUGGUGAGAAAGAGACGGCCCUGACCUGGACUUGGGCCUGUGGCCCAACCUGAGACCCUGCUCCAGAGGGGGUGAACCCAAGAGGUGACUGGAGUUCUGUGUUUAACCAAAUUAUAAUAAUCCUGUCCAGCAACUCAAGCUCUAAAAGGGCUAUAAAAUGGAUUGCAGAUAAUAAACAUGUCAGACUUUGUACCCUAUGACUCAUGGCUUUCAUCAUUAUUCUAAAUACGAUCAGAAGGCCAUCCAAAUAUUUAAUGCUGUUCAGCUGCUACAUGUAAAGAGCAGCAGCCACUGAAAUUUAUUUCUGAAUAAAAUUUAGAUACAUUCCCUUUCUGUUAU